rnacentral:rRNA from 1 species
UUGACCUCAAAUCAGGUAGGACUACCCGCUGAACUUAAGCAUAUCAAUAAGCGGAGGAAAAGAAACUAACAAGGAUUCCCCUAGUAACUGCGAGUGAAGCGGGAAAAGCUCAAAUUUGAAAUCUGGCGGUUCUGAACUGUCCGAGUUGUAAUCUAGAGAAGUGUUACCUGUGCUGGACCGUGUACAAGUCUCCUGGAAUGGAGCAUCAUAGAGGGUGAGAAUCCCGUCUUUGACACGGACUACCUGUACAUUAUGGUGCGCUCUCGAAGAGUCGAGUUGUUUGGGAAUGCAGCUCAAAAUGGGUGGUAAAUGCCAUCUAAAGCUAAAUAUUGGCGAGAGACCGAUAGCGAACAAGUACCGUGAGGGAAAGAUGAAAAGAACUUUGGAAAGAGAGUUAAACAGUACGUGAAAUUGCUGAAAGGGAAACGCUUGAAGUCAGUCGCGUUGGCUAGAAAUCAACCUAGCUCUUGCUCGGUGUACUUUCUGGUUGACGGGUCAGCAUCAAUUUUGACCAUCGGAUAAAGUCUUUGGGAAUGUGGCAUCUUCGGAUGUGUUAUAGCCCAUUGUCGCAUACGGUGGUUGGGAUUGAGG